rfam:Erinaceus europaeus unplaced genomic scaffold scaffold01499, whole genome shotgun sequence
GGAUGUAAGGGCUAUCUGUCUGUGACAUUAGUCAUUGCAUUGAUUGCCAGGUUUAUUCGACUGAUCUGGUUGGCUAGGCAGGUGUCCCCUCCCUCCCUCACUGUUUCAUGCAUGUGUGUCCCCCCCUCCCCCGAAAGCUGCACACUUGGUCAAAGUGGACAACCUUCCCCAAAUAGAGACGGACCAGUAAGACAGACUGGUCUUCAGUCGAGGGUAUGGGUAUACAGUAGCUGCGCUGCCCUGCUAGAACCUUCAAACAAGCUCUCAUAGAUACAGAGAAAUUGAGAAGGAAGGGGCAGGAGAAAGAGAAAGAUCUGCAGCACGGUUUCACUGCU